GCUUCGGUGGCCUAGCUCGGGAAGGCACUGGACUGAAGAUCCAGGCAUCGUUGGUUCAAAUCCGACCCGAAGCA
rnacentral:tRNA from 1 species